rnacentral:rRNA from 1 species
UGGGGAAUAUUGCACAAUGGGCGAAAGCCUGAUGCAGCGACGCCGCGUGAGGGAUGACGGCCUUCGGGUUGUAAACCUCUUUCAGCAGGGAAGAAGCGAAAGUGACGGUACCUGCAGAAGAAGCGCCGGCUAACUACGUGCCAGCAGCCGCGGUAAUACGUAGGGCGCAAGCGUUGUCCGGAAUUAUUGGGCGUAAAGAGCUCGUAGGCGGUUAGUCGCGUCUGCUGUGAAAACUCGAGGCUCAACCUCGGGCUUGCAGUGGGUACGGGCUGACUAGAGUGCGGUAGGGGUGACUGGAAUUCCUGGUGUAGCGGUGGAAUGCGCAGAUAUCAGGAGGAACACCGAUGGCGAAGGCAGGUCACUGGGCCGCAACUGACGCUGAGGAGCGAAAGCAUGGGGAGCGAACAGGAUUAGAUACCCUGGUAGUCCAUGCCGUAAACGUUGGGCACUAGGUGUGGGGUCCAUUCCACGGAUUCCGUACCGCAGCAAACGCAUUAAGUGCCCCGCCUGGGGAGUACGGCCGCAAGGCUAAAACUUAAAUGAAUUGAC